CUACUGCUAAUGCCAAAGCCUGGGACACAUUCCAGAGACACCAACACAGAGCCGUGAAGGUUCCAACUCUCUGGACUCUCAGGGUUGGAAAUCCCAGUGCCCUUUCCAAGAGGUUCUGGGAACCUGGACUGUACUUGAGGAAUGUUGUGGGACUUGCCUUUUGCACUUCUGGUUCCUACAGAAUCCCAUUUUUUUAAAAGGGGAUUUUUUUUUAGAGGUAGGGUCUUGCUAGGUUGUCCAGGAUAGAG
rnacentral:lncRNA from 1 species